rnacentral:tRNA from 1 species
GGGCCGCUAGCUCAGCUGGUAGAGCAGCACACUUUUAAUGUGCGGGUCGCCGGUUCGAUUCCGGCGCGGCUCACCA